rnacentral:rRNA from 1 species
GACGAACGCUGGCGGCGUGCUUAACACAUGCAAGUCGAACGGAAAGGCCCUGCUUGCAGGGUACUCGAGUGGCGAACGGGUGAGUAACACGUGGGUGAUCUGCCCUGCACUUCGGGAUAAGCCUGGGAAACUGGGUCUAAUACCGGAUAGGAGCCAUUUUUAGUGUGAUGGUUGGAAAGUUUUUUCGGUGUAGGAUGAGCUCGCGGCCUAUCAGCUUGUUGGUGGGGUAAUGGCCUACCAAGGCGGCGACGGGUAGCCGGCCUGAGAGGGUGGACGGCCAAAUUGGGACUGAGAUACGGCCCAGACUCCUACGGGAGGCAGCAGUGGGGAAUACUGCACAAUGGGCGCAAGCCUGAUGCAGCGACGCCGCGUGGGGGAUGACGGCCUUCGGGUUGUAAACUCCUUUCGCUAGGGACGAAGCUUUUUGUGACGGUACCUAGAUAAGAAGCACCGGCUAACUACGUG